rnacentral:rRNA from 1 species
AUUGAACGCUGGCGGCAGGCCUAACACAUGCAAGUCGAGCGGAUGAAGGGAGCUUGCUCCUGGAUUCAGCGGCGGACGGGUGAGUAAUGCCUAGGAAUCUGCCUGGUAGUGGGGGAUAACGUCCGGAAACGGGCGCUAAUACCGCAUACGUCCUGAGGGAGAAAGUGGGGGAUCUUCGGACCUCACGCUAUCAGAUGAGCCUAGGUCGGAUUAGCUAGUUGGUGGGGUAAAGGCCUACCAAGGCGACGAUCCGUAACUGGUCUGAGAGGAUGAUCAGUCACACUGGAACUGAGACACGGUCCAGACUCCUACGGGAGGCAGCAGUGGGGAAUAUUGGACAAUGGGCGAAAGCCUGAUCCAGCCAUGCCGCGUAUGUGAAGAAGGUCUUCGGAUUGUAAAGCACUUUAAGUUAGGAGGAAGGGCAGUAAGUUAAUACCUUGCUGUUUUGACGUUACCAACAGAAUAAGCACCGGCUAACUUCGUG